rnacentral:misc_RNA from 1 species
UACGAGAGGUGCAAACGUUAUUCGGAAUCAUUGGGCGUAAAGGGUGCGUAGGCGGCACGUUAAGUUUGUUGUUAAAGACCUCGGCCUAACCGAGGAGCAGCGAUGAAAACUGGCGAGCUUGAGAAUGGAAGAGAGAAGUGGAAUUCUCGGAGUAGCGGUAAAAUGCGUAGAUCUCGAGAGGAACACCGAUGGCGAAGGCAGCUUCUUGGUCCAUAUCUGACGCUGAGGCACGAAAGCGUGGGGAGCAAACAGG